rnacentral:rRNA from 1 species
GGGAAGUGAAACAUCUCAGUACCCGCAGGAAGAGAAAAUAAAUAAUGAUUCCGCUAGUAGUGGCGAACGAACGUGGAUCAGGCUAAACCGUGUGUGUGUGAUACCUGACAGGGGUUGCAUGUGCGGUGUUGUGGGUUGCGAUGUGGCAGGGCUGUUGACUUGCCGCGUGUGGUGUGUGUUGAGCGGAAGUGGUUUGGGAUGGCCUACCGGAGUGGGUGAGAGUCCCGUACGUUAAAAGCACAUGUCAUGCGUUGUUGUAUACCCGAGUAGCAGCGGGCUCGUGAAAUCUGCUGUGAAUCUGCCGGGACCACCCGGUAAGCCUAAAUACUCAGUGUGACCGAUAGCGGAUAGUACCGUGAGGGAAUGGUGAAAAGUACCCCGGGAGGGGA